rnacentral:rRNA from 1 species
CCUACGGGUGGCUGCAGUGGGGGAUAUUGCACAAUGGGGGGAACCCUGAUGCAGCGACGCCGCGUGGGUGAAGGAGCGUUUCGGCGCGUAAAGCCCCAUCGGCAGGGAAGAAGAUGACGGCACGUGACCAAGCAGCUCCGGCUAACUACGUGCCAGCAGCGGCGGUAAUACGUAGGGGGCCAGCGUUAUCCGGAGUUACAGGGUGUUAAGGGGGCGCAGUCGGCAAGUGAAGCCAGGGGUGAAAGCCCGGGGGCCAACCCCGGGAUUGCACUUGGAACCGCAUGGCUGGAGUACAGGAGGGGGAGGCGGAAUUCCUAGUGGAGCGGUGAAAUGCGUAGAUAUUAGGGGGAACACCGGUGGCGAAGG